GAUGAACGCUGGCGGCGCGCCUAACACAUGCAAGUCGAACGGUUAAAGCACCUUUUAGGUGUGUAUAAAGUGGCGAACGGCUGAGUAACACGUGGGCAACCUGCCCUCCUCUUGGGGAUAGCCUCGGGAAACCGAGGAUAAUACCCGAUACUUCAAUGUGGCCGCAUGACGACAUUGAGAAAGCUUUUGCGGAGAAGGAUGGGCCCGCGGCCUGUUAGCUUGUUGGUGGGGUAGAGGCCUACCAAGGCAAUGAUGGGUAGCUGGGUUGAGAGACCGACCAGCCAGAUUGGGACUGAGACACGGCCCAGACUCCUACGGGAGGCAGCAGUGGGGAAUCUUGCACAAUGGGCGAAAGCCUGAUGCAGCGACGCCGCGUGCGGGAAGAAGGCCUUUCGGGUUGUAAACCGCUUUUCAGCAGGGACGAGGCGAAAGUGACGGUACCUGCAGAGGAAGCCCCGGCUAACUAA
rnacentral:rRNA from 2 species